AGGCUUUGUCUGUCUCUGCAAUUACUUUCCCAAGGAUCAUACUCAGAGAUGAAAUAGCUGAGGAAGGAAUAUGAGAAAUAUCCAGGUUUGUUUUAAUUUUUAAUCCUUUAUAUAUUUACCUUUUUUUUUUUGAGACAGGGUCUUUGUUGCCUAGGCUGGAGUGCAGUGGCACGAUCUUGGCUCACUGCAACCUCUGCCUCCCUGAUUCAAGCAGUUCUCAUACCUCAGCCUCCGGAGUAGCUGGGAUUACAGGCAUCCGCCACCACGCCUGGCUAAUUUUCGUAUUUUUUUGUAAAGACAGGGUUUUGUCUUGUUGGCCAGGCUGGUCUUGAAUUCCUGACCUCAAGUGAUCUGCCCGCCUCGGUCUCCCAAAGUGCUGGGAUUACAGGUGUGAACUACCACCCUGCCUAUAUUUACCUCUUGAAUCCAUCGAUUUUAUGGCAUGAGCUGGACCCGCCAAGGCUUCUCUCUACAGUCAGAUGUCUCUGGGCUUAGAAGAUGUACUCUGAGACUGGGGACCCAGGCCUGGACAGGCCACUGCCUUACCCAGUAGCUUCGUGCAAGUCACCUGUAUUUGAGACUCAGCUACCUGCUCUGCAGAACUGCAGUAACGGUGUGGAUCCAUUGACUUCAGAGGGUAAGAUGGCCCUGACUCUCGUGCCUGAGUUUCUAAACUGUGAGACAGUGGCUGCUCUACCAGUUAGAAAUCAGAAGUUUUAGUCUAUCCUGCUGUUCGCUUAUUCAGCAAGUAUUUGUCAACAGCUAUGGUGUGUGCCUACCCAGGCACUCAGACUCAGCCACAGUCUACAGACCUCCCGCUUCCUGACCACUUGCUCUGAAAAUCUGGGUUGUGAUCUCAAAACCUAAAGACUUCCCAAUCCCACGUCCUGACCUCCGUGUCUUGUUUGGAAUAUCGCAACCCCCAAUCCUGUACCCCCAGUCCUGUGCCCACCUCCACACACACUGCCGCUCUGUCCGACUCAGUACAUAGAUGUGUGGCUUCUGGCCCCACAAGGUAGGAGUGUGGGUGAGUGUGUAUUCGGGUGUGAGUGCCCCUGAGAGUGUAAGGCUGUGUGAAUAUAAGGAUGUGGAGUGUGGGUGUGUAUCUGAGUGUGUUUGAGCGUGUGUGUGUAAUGAGUGAGAGUCGCUGUCAGGGCUUGUUUGACUGUAGUUGGGUCAAGUAUGGAGUGAGUGUGCCAUGUGUGGGGGUGUGGAUGAGCCAGUGUGGGUGUGCAUGAUUUUGUGUGAGGGUGUGCAAAGCCUCAGUCCCUCAUCAGUCAAAGACACACCCUCACGUGCAUGUGGGCACAUAUGCAUUCCAAGGGUCGAAGGUGGCUAAGCUGUAAGCCCAUCUUCCGAUAAGGGAAGACUUUGUCCACAGGCCAGGGAUCACUCUCCCCUCCCCACCCCAACAUGGAAGUGGGGAUCCCCCAGCUAAAAGUUGCCUCUGUCAGGAACGAGCACCCUGAGACUGCGGCCCACGGCCCACCUCCCACCUCAAGCCAGGCCGCCUCCUCCUCUCUCUCAGCUGCUUUCCAGCCCAGCCCUGGCAGUGACCCUGGACCGAGAGGCGAAGGACGGGCUGGUGGCCAGACAUUCCAGGUGCCUCCCUGGCUGUGGGGGGCAUCUCCAUGGAGACGAGCAGCUGACCAUAACAAGAUGAUUAUCGGGGCUCCCAGGGUCCCCCCCAGCCUCUCCCAAACAGACCUCUUCAGCACUAAGCCGUGCCAGGAAGUGUGACAAGAACCCAUUGCUCCUCACAGGAGCUUCUGAAAAAGGCAGAGACCACAGAGCCAUGGGAUUGUCCCUGAAACAGCUUCCCCGACGCAAGAGACCAAAGAAGUUGGCCAAGGCAAUUGGAUCUGGUUUAAGGCUUUAUCCCCAGAGAUCUCUAGAAGCAGGGGACGAUGCCACCCAUUCCUUCUUCGCCCAUUAUAUUUCACUCUGACCUGGAGGUAUGACCAAGGCAAUAGAGGGUGGGGGCCCCUAGAGGAGUCAGGGUGGCUGGUUUGCAGCCCACUCAUCACCCCACCCCACUGUCAAUCUCAGCUGUCCCUAAGACGUGCCGGUUAGUGUCCCCUAGUGUGCUUUGGCCAUACACGGGGCUGGGAAGGGGCACCGAUCCUUUUCUGGCUCCCAAAGCUGCUGGGUCUCUCAGUGUGUUGGUGAGAGCUGGAAGAGGUCCCCAGAGUCACUGCAAUUGUCCUGGUUUCUGCCCUGUUCUUGAGGAGCUAAAGUGGGAUGUCAAUGAGACCUCAGAAAGAACUUCCUGAUAGGAGGCUGUGAAACAAGAUUAGUAAACACAGAUUGGGAUUUUUGCUUGUGCCCUCAACCUUCUGGGAUUGCCUCCUGGCCAUGAUGCCACAUACACCACCCUGUGAACCCGUUUCAUCGCCAUCACCACUCUCAACCCCUACCAUAUCCCCUGAGCCCCACGACGGGAUGGGAUGCCCAGCCCUCCCUUUCUCAGGAGCCUGAAUUUUCUGGAGAGGACCCAGGGUGGGAAAGAGUCUCUGGCUUCCAUCUCCCCUAAGCCCAGGCUGCCUGGGGAAAGCUGACUCCACUGAAGCUGGAGGGACUGGGGCUUAACUCCCAGGCUGACUAAGGCCCCACAGAAGCUCCAAGCUCCCGGAACUAGAGCAGAUGGCCUUGGGGAAUCAGGCGUCACUUGCAAGCCUGUCUUCAUGCUUUCCUUCCCCACGGUACAUAGGGAGCUCAGAAGGAGUCAUCGUCACCAUCGUUAUAGCCUGCACUUCCAAAGCCCUUCCUGCCACAUCUGGCAUUGUUCUGAUGCGUGUGUUAAUCCACUUACCCCGCCUUGCACAACCUAAUGAGGUAGAUACUAUUACUAUCCCCAUUUCACAGAGGAAGAAACUGAUAUUCAGAGAGGUGACAUCAGUCAGGGAUGCCGCAGGCACAGAUAGUGUCCUCUGAGGCUUCACUGAAGAGAGCCUGAGGAGGGACUAUUUACAGAGGUGGCGGUAGAGUCAAGGGGACCAACCAGGGACGGCUUGGGGACUAACCAACAGCAGCCGUUCCCCCUCAGCCAGAAGAGGCAAGGGGAGAGCAGUGUUCUAGAAUGCAGGAAAAACCAGAGCCCUGGAAAAGGCGUGAAUAGCCUGACCUUUAUCCCCCCACCCUUCCUGCCCUCUGGUUUCCUAGCUGUGUCUCCCAUUUGCCAAACCCAGCUGGAAGCCUGAGGGCAAGAAGGCCCCGGGAAUGCCGCCCCGCCCGUAGAGAUUAGCCUCCUGAGACACAGAACAGGAUAGGGAUUGGAUCUGGAGCAGAUGGAGACUCCCACCCACCCAAGAUCCCGUGGCUGGGAAAGGCUCGUUUGGAACCUAGGUAAUCUGCAUUCAGAGCCCUACUCCCUGAGAUGUUGCGAAAUGCUCUCUGGGGAAGGGAUUGAGAAGACUGGGGUCUAGUGCAGGCUCUGCCGCUCUGCUCUGUGACUCUAGAUGAGACUCUAGUUUUGCCUUUACACAAAGAGGAGGUGUCCCCUCCUGGCACCCUCCACAGCCUAGGUGCCCAGACCAGACACAUCCUCUGUGUUUCCACUGCCACCCCCUCCCUUACCUCAGACAAACCUGGCACCAAAAGCCAAAGCCCGGGACAUGGAGAUGCUGAGUCCCUGAGGAGCCCAUCCCUAGCUGGGGGCAGACGCACUCAUUCCCCUGCCCCCGUCAGACUCCGAGGUUCUACCCAGGAAGCCUCCUUCCAGUCUCCCUGGUGGCCCCAGGGUCUCCAUCUCCAUAUUUCCUUUCUUUGUACUACCACAUUCCCAGGGCCCAUAGCUCAGGGGUCCUACCCGCAAGACAGGCUCCCUCCUCCCAGCCAGAAGGUUCGAGGCCCUGCUUAGGCCAGCAACCUCACAAACUGUUCCUCGGGGAUCCAGGCUGUCUCUGGCCCCUGGGGUCCCUGUACUGGGUGGAGUAGUCCCUCUUCUCCCCUUCCCACCCCACCCAACUCUACCCCACCCACGUUUCCCCAAGCCUAGAAGUGCCCCACCUAGGUUUUCAGAAAAACAAAAUCAAGAGGAAAGAGGAAGGAGGGAGCUCAUUACCAGGAAUUAAGGAGGAGGCCUGCCCUAGGGGAACACAAGUGAGACUUGGCUGGCAGGCAGAGAUAUGCACUGAGUACAUGGAGGUGUACUCAAAGUACACUGAGAGAGGGGCUCAGAGGAACAUGCAGAGAUGUGAUCUGAGGGUCACAGUCCAGGAUGUUCACUCAGAGGUACACAAAGAAAGACCCAGACACAAGGCUGGGCACUGUGGUUCAUGCCUGUAAUCCCAGCACUUUGGGUGGCCAAGGCAGGUGGAUCACCUGAGGUCAGGAGUUCGACACCAGCCUGGGCAACACGGUGAAACCCUGUCUCUACUAAAAAUACAAAAAUUAGCUGGGCGUGGUGGCAUGUGCUUGUAAUCCCAGCUACUCGGGAGGCUGAGGCAGGAGAAUUGCUUCAACCCAGGAGGCAGAGGUUGCAGUGAGCUGAGAUCACACCAUUGCACUCCAGCCUGGAUGACAAGAGUGAAACUCCAUCUCAAAAAUAAUAAUAAUAAUAAUAAUAAAAGAAAGACCCAGACACAAAGAGUCAGGCAGUAAGAGAUACUCGGAAAGAGACAGAGACAUGGUCUGCCAGAGGUUUGGACCCACAGAGACAUAACCAGAUACAUUGAAAGAAAGGCACAACCAGAAACACUAAGUGCAUUUGCUUGGGUGCACACACACACUGAGGCAGGCACACUAAGAAACAGGAACCAAGCUCAAGUUUCACAGAGACUGAUUUUAACCCAAGCAGAUCUGAAUUUUAAGGAAACAUGAGCUCCUCCAAAGUGGGCUGUGGAGAUGGCUCAGCACAGGAAGAAGGGACAGAGGUGAGAUAGGGGAUGCAAUUCUCCCUUCA
rnacentral:lncRNA from 1 species